GACGAACGCUGGCGGCGUGCUUAACACAUGCAAGUCGAACGGAAAGGCCCUGCUUUUGUGGGGUGCUCGAGUGGCGAACGGGUGAGUAACACGUGAGUAACCUGCCCUUGACUUUGGGAUAACUUCAGGAAACUGGGGCUAAUACCGGAUAGGAGCUCCUGCUGCAUGGUGGGGGUUGGAAAGUUUCGGCGGUUGGGGAUGGAUUCGCGGCUCAUCAGCUUGUUGGUGGGGUAGUGGCUUACCAAGGCUUUGACGGGUAGCCGGCCUGAGAGGGUGACCGGCCACAUUGGGACUGAGAUACGGCCCAGACUCCUACGGGAGGCAGCAGUGGGGAAUAUUGCACAAUGGGCGGAAGCCUGAUGCAGCAACGCCGCGUGCGGGAUGACGGCCUUCGGGUUGUAAACCGCUUUCGCCUGUGACGAAGCGUGAAUGACGGUAAUGGGUAAAGAAGCACCGGCUAACUACGUGCCAGCAGCCGCGGUGAUACGUAGGGUGCGAGCGUUGUCCAGAUUUAUUGGGCGUAAAGGGCUCGUAGGUGGUUGAUCGCGUCGGAAGUGUAAUCUUGGGGCUUAACCCUGAGCGUGCUUUCGAUACGGGUUGACUUGAGGAAGGUAGGGGAGAAUGGAAUUCCAGGUGGAGCGGUGGAAUGCGCAGAUAUCAGGAGGAACACCAGUGGCGAAGGCGGUUCUCUGGGCCUUUCCUGACGCUGAGGAGCGAAAGCGUGGGGAGCGAACAGGCUUAGAUACCCUGGUAGUCCACGCUGUAAACGGUGGGUACUAGGUGUGGGGUCCAUUCCACGGGUUCCGUGCCGUAGCUAACGCUUUAAGUACCCCGCCUGGGGAGUACGGCCGCAAGGCUAAAACUCAAAGGAAUUGACGGGGCCCCGCACAAGCGGCGGAGCAUGCGGAUUAAUUCGAUGCAACGCGUAGAACCUUACCUGGGUUUGACAUGGAUCGGGAGUGCUCAGAGAUGGGUGUGCCUCUUUUGGGGUCGGUUCACAGGUGGUGCAUGGCUGUCGUCAGCUCGUGUCGUGAGAUGUUGGGUUAAGUCCCGCAACGAGCGCAACCCUUGUUCACUGUUGCCAGCACGUUAUGGUGGGGACUCAGUGGAGACCGCCGGGGUCAACUCGGAGGAAGGUGGGGAUGACGUCAAGUCAUCAUGCCCCUUAUGUCCAGGGCUUCACGCAUGCUACAAUGGCUGGUACAGAGAGUGGCGAGCCUGUGAGGGUGAGCGAAUCUCGGAAAGCCGGUCUCAGUUCGGAUUGGGGUCUGCAACUCGACCUCAUGAAGUCGGAGUCGCUAGUAAUCGCAGAUCAGCAACGCUGCGGUGAAUACGUUCCCGGG
rnacentral:rRNA from 1 species